CUCUGCAUUAAAAUGCAGGAAAACUUCUGCUCUCGAUCAGUUUGAUUUGAUAGUUGAUUUAACUUCUUUGUGCUCACACAGCUCUCAGUGGCUGAGUUUUGUAUUCCAUGCUCUCAGAGAGCAGAUGACCUACUUUUCUUGUAUUAUUAUUCCUGGUUUCAGCAGCCCGACUCCCCGGGAGCGGAGGAGGAGUGCUGGUGGUGUGUUUGUGGAGGAUACACAGCCAGGACUUGGUUGGCCUCAAAGUAAGCAAUCAAAUUACAUGAUUGCUGGAGAGCAGGGAGAGAAAGAAUGCUUGGAGCAAGACAAAAGUAAAACUACUUCUUAAGAAACCAGAGGACAGCAUCUUUAGCUAACCACAACUGCAGAACAGCCAUUGAUUUAGGUUCUGCACAGGAGCAACUGUGGCUGCUUGCUGUUUAUCUUCCUGUGUGGAACUGAUGUCUGUUGCCCUGAGCUACAGAAAAAGGCCAAUGAGAAUUAAUUUGACAUCAAAAGAAGAAGAACCAAGCCAUAUAAGCCUUCAUCAAAGGAGUAAAGCAGACAUGUAAUUGGGAGCUCAGAGUGAGUUAGGUUUCUGCUCACUCACCACAACGCUGCAGAGGAUGGAUCUGCUCAUGUACCCAGCCCUGGAGCGACCAGCACAGGGGGCUCCUACCUGCCCCCCUCUUAUUUCCUUACUUCCCCCAUACAAAAGCAAUACAGCCCUUGCAGUGACUAUACUGCUAUUCAUGGCUCGAUUUCCUUGAGUUUCCUUAUCAGUGGGAAUAAUUAGUGUGAACACUAAAAGCCCCUCAGUGGGAAUAAAGGGUCAGCCCCACAUCCCCCAGCACAGAGCAGGAGCUCAUUAUCUUGCAUGAAUUCUUCAUAAAUUGUAGAAGCGUAUUCAGCAUAUGGCCUUGUUCUGCUUUUCUCCCCAAACAGAGAGCAAAAAACAUAUAUUUUUGUUGAUAAUCUUCUCAUAUAAAUUUGAUUGGAAGUAAGAACAUUUUUUUAAUGGACUGUGUAUUCUGCAUCUGUGUUUCCUGUGUUAAAGAGAAAAUUCAAUCAUUUCAGUGCAAUUGUUUUAUUUACACCAGUUUAACCAGAAAAUAAAUGGCUACAGUAAUCUUCUUCUGAGUAAGAAAUUAUGCAGUUCACACCAGGAGGGUAAUCAGCAAUGAAAAAAGUUGUAUUUUCCUGACAAAGCUGGGAAUUCACGAAUGCUUCCAUGAUGGGCAAGAAACUAAACAUUGAAAUUACCUCAAGUCACUUCACAUGACAAAA